GCUUGGGUUUGGUAUGCCUCACAUUCGUGAAAAUGUUUUUUAUUGUAUUGUAAAGGAACUUAACCUGCAAAGUAAAACAAAACACAUUUUGUUUUGUUUCACAGUGAACGAUGAGUGUUUUUUUAAAUAAAAAUUUAAAGGAAUAAGUAAAAAUGUUAGCAGAAAUUUAUUUGUUGUGUGAAAACAACGGAGUCAAUAUAUUUGUUUUUAGCGUGUUUGUUUUCGCACCGACUGUCAGUCACGAAAAAACGAAGAAAACGUAUUUUCAGUUGAUACUCAGUGCUAAGUUUUGAAUUUUAGUUUAAAAUGUUCGGAACAACCUGGUUCUACAGCAAUACUGGCUCGAAUGUACCUUUCUUCGACGCAAGCUUCUGUGGGCUGCUGUGAAUCCAACAAAUUCAAUGAGUCGGGAAAGAAGGGCCAAAAGCGGACCAGGUAAACUCACAUUGACGGCUGCCUCCAUCAGAAUAAGGCAAACUACGGUACAUAUUGAAUGGGAAAUCGAGACUAGCUGCAUGAACUUGAAUUUCCCGGGGUGUUCCGCGGUCUGUUUGGCGUUCGGUACUCACAGCUGCAGAAUUGGUGCCACCAAGAGCUCAAUGUUUCGGAUGUUACCUAAUCGAAUCUCCUACGCUAAAUAUUGAUGUAAAUUAAGUUCCGUUGAUAAAUGUGUCUAUAAUAAAUUAUGAUUGAAGUGAUUGUUUUCAGUACAUACUUAUUUAUUUAUGUUU